rnacentral:rRNA from 1 species
GGAAUCAUUGGGCGUAAAGGGCGCGUAGGUGGCCCGGUCAGCGUGCGGUGAAAGCUCGGGGCUCAACCCCGAGUCGGCCGUGCGAACUGCUGGGCUCGAGCACUGUAGAGGCAGGCGGAAUUCCGGGUGUAGCGGUGGAAUGCGUAGAGAUCCGGAAGAACACCGGUGGCGAAGGCGGCCUGCUGGGCAGUGGCUGACACUGAGGCGCGACAGCGUGGGGAGCAAACAGG